rnacentral:ncRNA from 2 species
GUUAGGAUGAGUCUCGUUGGUGUCGGGGCUGUGCCCACAGCUCCGACCGCAAGAGGGAAGCCGGUGAGAAUCCGGCGCUGCCCCGCAGCGGUGAAUGGGAACGACAUCACCAUCGCCGCCGUCGUCACGGCCCGUCCGCGACGACGACGUCGAUCACAGCACUGGGCCCAGGCCCGGGAAGCGGUGACGUAGGACCUGCCGACCGGUGACCCCGGUGGGUGGGAUGCCCAUGAGUCCGAAUACCUGCCGACGCGUCUUCGCACCG